rnacentral:lncRNA from 1 species
AUGGUGUUCUUCUCCUUGAGGAUCUCAUACGGAUAUAUGAGGGAAAAAGCAGCAGCAGUGGUUUAUGAGGUGCCACGGAGACAAGCACUUAACUGUGAAAGAAGUCAUGGAUGUGAUUUCAAACUGGAGGGAGGCUUCUCUCUGAAACGUAGGACAAGGGAACUUAUGUCCCUAGCAGGACUGCUGAUUUUGGUUAUCAAAUUAAAAGAAAUUUUUGCAGACUCUAAUUUUGCAGACUCUAAUUUUUGCUCUAAAAAAAACCAUGGAUUUGAACACAGACCAACCUAUCCUCUAGAGGUAAGUGUUGCCAGAUAACACCAUUGAAAUAGAGUACCUUAAGCAGAAGGCUGAUGUAGUCUCCUGAAUUUCAGUUUAGAUUUAUGACAGAAAACACAACACUUCUUUCUGAGCUUGCUUACUUGUAUUUGUUCUUGUCAUACCUUUGUCAAAUGUUCAAGAUUGCAUCUUAAAAGGACUGUGUCUCUACAUGAUGUACGAAAGAAAACCACUUAGACUUCUCAACUUUUCUUUCAUAUUUGUUGUCUCGGAAAGCAAAACUAUCUUGGGAUGAUCCUUCUUUUAUUGGUGGCUUGCCAGCUCAUGGGCUGAGGAAAGAGGUAAACUCCCUCACUAAUCCAUUAUGAAUGAUGAACCUUAUGAUAUAAGACUUUGCAGGAGGAAAAAGGUUUUUAAAAAGUUUUUUUUUUUUUAAGGAAGUACAGGAGAAAAAAUUAUGAACAUAUAGCAAUCUUUCUUGGUGCCACGUGGUAUAGGAGUUCAGAGGAACAUGAAGAUGUAUUAUUCUAUUCAAUGUUCUACUAGAUGGUUGUGUUGUGGAUGUAUGCAAAUAUGCAUAGACUGUUCAGUAAAUUAUUAAUCCUCUAUCAAACGCAUAACAGAGUCAGCAAUUUACACUUUGAGUCAUAGUUUUCACAUUUGUAUAGGAUGGAUAAUAGUACUACUUGUAACAGGAUGAAAGGCUGCAAGUCUGUCCUGUAUUUAAUUAUUUAUUUAUUUUUAAGAGACA